rnacentral:rRNA from 1 species
GAUGAACGCUAGCUACAGGCUUAACACAUGCAAGUCGAGGGACCGGCGCACGGGUGAGUAACACGUAUCCAACCUGCCCUUUACUCGGGGAUAGCCUUUCGAAAGAAAGAUUACUACCCGAUAUACAGGAUGGGGAUGCGUUUCAUUAGGUUGUUGGUGAGGUAACGGCUCACCAAGCCUUCGAUGGAUAGGGGUUCGGAGAGGAAGUGCCCCAACUGUGUAACUGCGACACCGCCCAAAUUCCUACGGGUGCAAUCAGGGAGAAAUAUUGGUCAAUGGUCGCUAGCCUGACCCAGCCACUUAGUGUUAAGUAUGAUGGCUUAUGUUUCGUAAACUUUUUUUAUAUAAGAAUAUGUAUUAUAUGAAUAAGGAUCGGCUAACUCCGGGCCAUCCGCCGCGGUAAUUC